GAUGAACGCUAGCGACAGGCUUAACACAUGCAAGUCGAGGGGCAGCGGGUUGUUAUGGCAACAUAACAAUGCCGGCGACCGGCGCACUGGUGAGUAACACGUAUGCAACCUGCCCUUGAAAGGGGGAUAACCCGUGGAAACGCGGCCUAAUACCCCGUAAGCGCCGUCACCGCAUGACGACGGCGUGAGAGGAGCGAUCUGUUCAAGGAUGGGCAUGCGUCGCAUUAGCUAGUUGGUGAGGUAACGGCCCACCAAGGCGACGAUGCGUAGGGGUUCUGAGAGGAAGGUCCCCCACACUGGUACUGAGACACGGACCAGACUCC
rnacentral:rRNA from 1 species